rnacentral:tRNA from 14 species
CGGGACGUGGCGCAGCUUGGUAGCGCACCUGACUGGGGGUCAGGGGGUCGCAGGUUCAAAUCCUGUCGUCCCGA